rnacentral:tRNA from 2 species
CGUUCAUAGCUCAGUUGGUUAGAGCACCACCUUGACAUGGUGGGGGUCGUUGGUUCGAGUCCAAUUGAACGCACCAU